UACGUAGGGUGCAAGCGUUGUCCGGAAUUAUUGGGCGUAAAGAGCUCGUAGGCGGUCUGUCGCGUCUGGUGUGAAAAUCCAGGGCUUAACCCUGGACCUGCAUCGGGUACGGGCAGACUAGAGUGCGGUAGGGGAGAUCGGAGUUCCUGGUGUAGCGGUGAAAUGCGCAGAUAUCAGGAGGAACACCGAUGGCGAAGGCAGGUCUCUGGGCAUUAACUGACGCUGGGGAGCGAAAGCAUGGGGAGCGAACAGG
rnacentral:rRNA from 1 species